UUCUAGCCCAGAUUGAAGAGGAAAGCCCGGAACUAAAAAAACUAAUUUUUCUUGCCAGAAAACAGCGACCAACGGAAGCUCGUUUUAUGGCUUAGAAAAAUAGUUUUUUUAGUGUCCCGAUAGCUAUCGGGAUGAAACGGAAAGCUGGAAAUAGC
rnacentral:sRNA from 2 species